GAGAAACACAAAUUACCUCAGGCACACAGACUGAUGCGACAAAACCGACAUGACUGGUUAGGACAUGAGGAGGAAACAGUAGGAGCUGUGUGAGGCUACUAAAGGCAGUGGAUCCCUCAGCAGCUGGAUUACAAAGAACACAGUCUCAGAUCAGCACAGCCCUGCCCUCCAGCACUAUCAGCAGCAGGAGCAGCAGCAACCCCUCAACAGCAACAUUGUACCCAUCAGCCUGGUUCAAUGUGCCCCUUUUUAACUUUGAGCACCCGCCCCUAUAAACGUCUCUGCACGGCCCUGGUUCCAGCUCACCUCUCCCCUACUCUGAGACGCAGCGGAGCGGAGGUACAGACAGCCAGGUUCAUAAUGGAUAUAAGGAAGUUUUUUCAAAAACAGGAGCCACAUUCAGUCCAAAGAGGGAGAGAGGAAAGAGGGGAACGUGAGGAGAAAGUACAAGGUCAGGAAGAACCAGACAUGGCUGGUAAGGACAUGAGGAGGAAACAGUAGGAGCUGUGUGAGGCUACUAAAGGCAGUGGAUCCCUCAGCAGCUGGAUUACAAAGAGCACAGUCUCAGAUCAACACAGCCCUGCCCUCCAGCACUAUCAGCAGCAGGAGCAGCAGCAACCCCUCAACAGCAACAUUGUACCCAUCAG
ensembl:lncRNA